rnacentral:rRNA from 1 species
GAAUUUUCCGCAAUGGGCGAAAGCCUGACGGAGCAACGCCGCGUGAGGGAUGAAGGCCUCUGGGCUGUAAACCUCUUUUCUCAAGGAAGAAGAUCUGACGGUACUUGAGGAAUAAGCCACGGCUAAUUCCGUGCCAGCAGCCGCGGUUAUACGGGAGUGGCAAGCGUUAUCCGGAAUUAUUGGGCGUAAAGCGUCCGCAGGCGGCCCUUCAAGUCUGCUGUUAAAGCGUGGAGCUUAACUCCAUCAUGGCAGUGGAAACUGUUGGGCUUGAGUGUGGUAGGGGCAGAGGGAAUUCCCGGUGUAGCGGUGAAAUGCGUAGAUAUCGGGAAGAACACCAGUGGCGAAGGCGCUCUGCUGGGCCAUCACUGACGCUCAUGGACGAAAGCCAGGGGAGCGAAAGGGAUUAGAUACCCCUGUAGUCAAU